rnacentral:rRNA from 1 species
GACGAACGCUGGCGGCGUGCUUAACACAUGCAAGUCUUAAGGAGAAAGUUCUCUUCGGAGUUCGAGUAAACUGGCGAACGGGUGAGUAACGCGUAGACAACUUACCCAGAGGUCUGGGAUAACACUGAGAAAUUAGUGCUAAUACCGGAUAAUAUCGUUUUAACCCUGGUUAGAGCGAUCAAAGGUGGCUUCGGCUACCGUCUUUGGAUGGGUCUGCGUCUGAUUAGCUAGUUGGUAGGGUAAAGGCCUACCAAGACUACGAUCAGUAGCUGGUCUGAGAGGAUGAUCAGCCACACUGGGACUGAGAUACGGCCCAGACUCCUACGGGAGGCAGCAGUGGGGAAUAUUGCGCAAUGGGCGAAAGCCUGACGCAGCAACGCCGCGUGAUCGAUGAAGCUUUAAGGAGUGUAAAGAUCUGUCCUAAGGGAAGAAUGGUUCCAAGUCGAAUAGGCUUGGUUCGUGACGGUACCUUAGAAGAAAGCGCCGGCUAACUUCGUGCCAGCAGCCGCGGUAAUACGAGGGGCGCAAGCGUUGUCCGGAUUCAUUGGGUGUAAAGGGUGCGUAGGUGGAUUGGUAAGUUGGAAUUUAAAUCCCGCAGCUUAACUGCGGACCUGGUUUCAAAACUGCUGAUCUUGAGUUCGAAAGAGGGGAGUGGAAUUCCUAGUGUAGCGGUGGAAUGCGUAGAUAUUAGGAGGGACACCAGUGGCGAAGGCGGCUCUCUGGUUCGAUACUGACACUAAGGCACGAAAGCGUGGGGAGCGAACAGGAUUAGACACCCUGGUAGUCCACGCCGUAAACGAUGAGUACUUGGUGCUGGUGGAUUUCAACCCCCAUCAGUGCCGGAGUUAACGCGUUAAGUACUCCACCUGGGGACUACGGUCGCAAGGCUG